UGCCUUUAUCUCCUCUCGCAGGCUUCUCGACAAGUCACAGGAUGAUUUAUGCCCUGAUAACUUCUGCUUUUAAAGGCCGGGCUAAUAAAAGCAGCCUUUGCAAAAACAACUUUUGCGGGAGGUGUGGGGAAACCCACCCGUCAUCACACUCAGCAGGCCAAAGCACCAUGUCAGCAGAGACGCCAGCAGAGCAGGGCCGAGGCCCACCUCCCUCCCCAUCUUCAUCUGGCGCCCAAAGGGAUGUGGUGCAGGGAGGACGGGUGGGCGGAAAGCCUGGGCUGGAAAGAGAAGAUUUUCCUCUGACUGCUUCAUUAAUGUGAGUCUGAAACCAUUAUGCCUUCCUGAACAAAAGCAAGCAAGCCAUGCCACAACUAACACAAGCACACUGAAUUUUCUGCGGUGAAAAAAUCACGAACAAAUAAAAAUCAGGUGUUGAAAUGAAA